CUCCUCCUCCCCAGAAGCUGAUGAUCUUUCUCUCGAGAUGCAUUAAAGCUUUGCUGCAGAAGAAUCUGAGUGUGUGUCCUGUGUUUGUGUCCUCGCCGGCGAGACUCCUUAUCACAGACCACAUCUGGUGCCGAAACCUGGGACUUCAACAUAGCUGGCACCAAGGAGACCCCCUGGAGACAGGGCAGAUUCAGAACUGCAGUAGGUAAGUUCGGUAAGUCAUGUCUGAUCUUGAAUCUGUUGUUCCUUUUAACUUUGGUCUUAAUCUAAAAGCACCGUGGGACGGGUCGGUAGAAGCUUUGGUUUUUGUAACUCUGGUGCUUAUCUUCUUUCUCCUGGUGGCUUGUUGUGUUCAUUGUGGUUGGUGUUAAUUUUGAGGUGCGGUCAGUCCGACGUAGAUAAGCGGCAGCACCAUCACACUCGGUCAGUCUCUCCUACAUAAGGGAGCAGAGCAUGGCAUUUUGCUUUCACUUUACUUUCACUUCUUCUCCAGGAGCAGACUUCUGCUUUAGAAGCAGCCUUCUGCUUUAAAAGUGGACUUCUGCUUUUAAGAGCAGAUUUUCUUCUGAUUUUUUGAGCAGCUGCCUCGGAAGCAGACUUCUGCUUUUUUGGAGCGGAGUGUGGUUUACUUUCACUUCUGCUUUUUUGUGCCUUAAGUCGGACGUACAUAAGCCGCAGGUAUGAUGGGGUCCUCACAAUUGGUUGUAAACGCACUACAAGCUGUUUUUAAGCAGAGAGACCUCAAGAUUGCCACAUGCACCCUAAAAAAUUUUGUUUCCGAGGUCAACCGUGUCGCCCCAUGGUAUGCUUGCUCAGGCUCACUGACCAUUGCUUCAUGGAAUAAACUAGGAAGAGAUCUAGAUAGAAAAAUUGAGGAAGGAGAAUUGCGUCUAGGCACCAAGGCAAUUUGGAAACUGAUAAUUGCUUAGAAGAUGAGACCGGCUGACCUGCAGUGGUUGAGGGACAAGAAACAUUAGAAGAGGUUCAGGACAGCAUGUCAGAAACUGACCGGAGUGAGAGUGAGAGGAGCUCCUAAGAAAACAGACAUGAAGG
rnacentral:lncRNA from 1 species